rnacentral:rRNA from 1 species
CCUACGGGUGGCAGCAGUGGGGAAUAUUGCACAAUGGGGGGAACCCUGAUGCAGCAACGCCGCGUGGGUGAAGAAGUACUUCGGUAUGUAAAGCUCUGUCAGCAGGGAAGAAAAUGACGGUACCUGACCAAGAAGCCCCGGCUAACUACGUGCCAGCAGCCGCGGUAAUACGUAGGGGGCAAGCGUUAUCCGGAUUUACUGGGUGUAAAGGGAGCGUAGACGGCAAGGCAAGUCUGGUGUGAAAGCCCGUGGCUCAACCACGGGACUGCAUUGGAAACUGUGGUGCUGGAGUGUAGGAGGGGUAAGCGGAAUUCCUAGUGUAGCGGUGAAAUGCGUAGAUAUUAGGAGGAACACCAGUGGCGAAGGCGGCUUACUGGACUGUAACUGACGUUGAGGCUCGAAGGCGUGGGGAGCAAACAGGAUUAGAUACCCUAGUAGUC